UAGGAAACGGUAGCUAAUACCGCAUAACGUCGCAAGACCAAAGAGGGGGACCUUCGGGCCUCUUGCCAUCAGAUGAACCCAGAUGGGAUUAGCUAGUAGGUGGGGUAACGGCUCACCUAGGCGACGAUCCCUAGCUGGUCUGAGAGGAUGACCAGCCACACUGGAACUGAGACACGGUCCAGACUCCUACGGGAGGCAGCAGUGGGGAAUAUUGCACAAUGGGCGCAAGCCUGAUGCAGCCAUGCCGCGUGUAUGAAGAAGGCCUUCGGGUUGUAAAGUACUUUCAGCGGGGAGGAAGGGGAAGUGGUUAAUAACCACUGCCAUUGACGUUACCCGCAGAAGAAGCACCGGCUAACUCCGUGCCAGCAGCCGCGGUAAUACGGAGGGUGCAAGCGUUAAUCGGAAUUACUGGGCGUAAAGCGCACGCAGGCGGUCUGUCAAGUCGGAUGUGAAAUCCCCGGGCUCAACCUGGGAACUGCAUCCGAAACUGGCAGGCUUGAGUCUUGUAGAGGGGGGUAGAAUUCCAGGUGUAGCGGUGAAAUG
rnacentral:rRNA from 1 species